rnacentral:rRNA from 1 species
UAGUCCACGCCGUAAACGUUGUGCACUAGGUGUCGGGGGUAUUCACCCCUCCGGUGCCGCCGCUAACGCAUUAAGUGCACCGCCUGGGGAGUACGGCCGCAAGGCUAAAACUCAAAGGAAUUGACGGGGCCCGCACAAGCGGUGGAGCAUGUGGUUUAAUUCGAUGCAACGCGAAGAACCUUACCCAGGCUUGACAUCUGGGGAACCUCCUCGAAAGAGGAGGGUGCCUUCGGGAGCCCCAAGACAGGUGCUGCAUGGCUGUCGUCAGCUCGUGUCGUGAGAUGUUGGGUUAAGUCCCGCAACGAGCGCAACCCUUGUCCUUAGUUGCCAUCGGUUCGGCCGGGCACUUUAAGGNGACUGCCGGUGUUAAACCGGAGGAAGGUGGGGAUGAGGUCAAGGUCCUCAUGGCCCUUAUGCCUGGGGGCUACACACGUGCUACAAUGGGCCGGUACAGAGGGGAAGCGACACGGGCGACGUGUAGCCGAUCCCAAAAAGCCGGGU